rnacentral:rRNA from 1 species
UUUAUGGAGAGUUUGAUCCUGGCUCAGGAUGAACGCUGGCGGCGUGCCUAAUACAUGCAAGUCGAGCGAACGGACGAGAAGCUUGCUUCUCUGAUGUUAGCGGCGGACGGGUGAGUAACACGUGGAUAACCUACCUAUAAGACUGGGAUAACUUCGGGAAACCGGAGCUAAUACCGGAUAAUAUUUUGAACCGCAUGGUUCAAAAGUGAAAGACGGUCUUGCUGUCACUUAUAGAUGGAUCCGCGCUGCAUUAGCUAGUUGGUAAGGUAACGGCUUACCAAGGCAACGAUGCAUAGCCGACCUGAGAGGGUGAUCGGCCACACUGGAACUGAGACACGGUCCAGACUCCUACGGGAGGCAGCAGUAGGGAAUCUUCCGCAAUGGGCGAAAGCCUGACGGAGCAACGCCGCGUGAGUGAUGAAGGUCUUCGGAUCGUAAAACUCUGUUAUUAGGGAAGAACAUAUGUGUAAGUAACUGUGCACAUCUUGACGGUACCUAAUCAGAAAGCCACGGCUAACUACGUGCCAGCAGCCGCGGUAAUACGUAGGUGGCAAGCGUUAUCCGGAAUUAUUGGGCGUAAAGCGCGCGUAGGCGGUUUUUUAAGUCUGAUGUGAAAGCCCACGGCUCAACCGUGGAGGGUCAUUGGAAACUGGAAAACUUGAGUGCAGAAGAGGAAAGUGGAAUUCCAUGUGUAGCGGUGAAAUGCGCAGAGAUAUGGAGGAACACCAGUGGCGAAGGCGACUUUCUGGUCUGUAACUGACGCUGAUGUGCGAAAGCGUGGGGAUCAAACAGGAUUAGAUACCCUGGUAGUCCACGCCGUAAACGAUGAGUGCUAAGUGUUAGGGGGUUUCCGCCCCUUAGUGCUGCAGCUAACGCAUUAAGCACUCCGCCUGGGGAGUACGACCGCAAGGUUGAAACUCAAAGGAAUUGACGGGACCCGCACAAGCGGUGGAGCAUGUGGUUUAAUUCGAAGCAACGCGAAGAACCUUACCAAAUCUUGACAUCCUUUGACAACUCUAGAGAUAGAGCUUUCCCCUUCGGGGACAAAGUGACAGGUGGUGCAUGGUUGUCGUCAGCUCGUGUCGUGAGAUGUUGGGUUAAGUCCCGCAACGAGCGCAACCCUUAAGCUUAGUUGCCAUCAUUAAGUUGGGCACUCUAAGUUGACUGCCGGUGACAAACCGGAGGAAGGUGGGGAUGACGUCAAAUCAUCAUGCCCCUUAUGAUUUGGGCUACACACGUGCUACAAUGGACAAUACAAAGGGCAGCGAAACCGCGAGGUCAAGCAAAUCCCAUAAAGUUGUUCUCAGUUCGGAUUGUAGUCUGCAACUCGACUACAUGAAGCUGGAAUCGCUAGUAAUCGUAGAUCAGCAUGCUACGGUGAAUACGUUCCCGGGUCUUGUACACACCGCCCGUCACACCACGAGAGUUUGUAACACCCGAAGCCGGUGGAGUAACCUUUUAGGAGCUAGCCGUCGAAGGUGGGACAAAUGAUUGGGGUGAAGUCGUAACAAGGUAGCCGUAUCGGAAGGUGCGGCUGGAUCACCUCCUUUCU